UCCGUAGGCGGGCGAUUAAGUCAGAGGUGAAAUCCCACAGCUCAACUGUGGAACUGCCUUUGAUACUGGUUGUCUUGAGUUAUAGUGAAGUAGAUAGAAUAUGUAGUGUAGCGGUGAAAUGCAUAGAUAUUACAUAGAAUACCGAUUGCGAAGGCAGUCUACUAACUAUCGACUGACGCUGAUGGACGAAAGCGUGGGGAGCGAACAGGAUUAGAUACCCUGGUAGUCC
rnacentral:rRNA from 1 species